rnacentral:lncRNA from 1 species
GACCGGCGCGGGUGCUGGAGGUCAGCAGGGGCCGUGGGCGGUGGACGCUGGAAUGCCUUGGGUUCCGAGGGACCCAGCUGCCUGAAUGGACACGAGUAGGAGGUUUUUGCUGGGCGUCUUUGCGGUGGCGGGAAGCGGUGAGGGAGGGAAAGAAGGAUACAAGCUCAAGGGGCAGGCCGGGUGCACCAUCCAUCCCCGUGCCCUCGGGUCAUCUCAGGGAGACUGUGGGAUGAUAGUGCGUUUGUGGGCCACAGUUCACAACGAUGGGCCCUGCAUCGGGUCAGAGGACCCCUCCGGAACAGGGGGAUGCACAAGGUCAAGAGAAUGCAUGGAAUCAGAGGGCUGCACCAGGUCAGGGGGGCUGCACCGAGACCAGAGGAAGCAUCAGGUCAGGAGGAUGCACUGGAGUGUGCAUCCCCAGGGGGCCACACUGGGUAAGGAGGAUGCACCAGGUUAGGAGGCAGCACUGGGUCAGAAGGAUGCACUGGAAUCAGGGGACUGUACCAGGUUGGGGGGCGUGCCUCAGGUCAGGAGGAGGCACUGGGGUCCGGGGGCAACAUUGAGUCAGGGGCAGCCCUAGGUCAGGAGGAUGCAUGGGGUCAGGGGGCUGCAGGGGUUUGAGGGCUGCACUGGGUCAGGGCGCCAUACCAGGUCAGGGGAUGCGCAGGAUCGGGGGAGAUGCCCGGGGUCGUGGGAUGCUGGGGGUUGGGGGGAUGCUCGGGGUCGGGGAGUUCUCGAGGUCGGGGGAUACUCGGGGUCAGGGGGUUCUCAGGGUUGGGGGGAUACUUAGGGUCAGGGGAUGCUCUAGGUUGGGGGAAGCUCGGGUUCAGGGGCUAUGGCCAGGGAGGAAGGACAAUCAGGAAAGUGGGGGUAGCGGAUUCUGGAAGCUAAAUAGUUUCAGGAAGGAGGAAUUGAUAGCCAAUGUUCAGAAGUACUGUGAGGCCAAGACUCCAGAGACAAUUGAGUUUGGCAUAUGCCAGUCAUUGGCAUCCUUGACAAAAGCAGUUUCAAAGGAGUGUGGGGAAGCUACAUCUCGUCAGAGUGGACUGUGAAAAGAAUAUUAAGUGAAGUGGAAAAAAGUAAGUUUCAACAACCUAGGUUGGCAGAUUUAGCAAUAAAAAUACAAAUACCCAGUAAAGUUUAAUUUCAGAUAAACAACAAGUAAUUUGUAGUAUAGAUAUAUUUAUCACUAAACUAAUGUUGCAUGGGAUAUACUUCUACUAAAACAUUGUUUUGAGAGGUGACAGCGUGCUGGCAGCCCUCACAGCCCUCGCUCGCUCUGGGCACCUCCUCGGCCUUGGCACCCACUCUGGCUGUGCUUGAGGAGCCCUUCAGCCCACCGCUGCACUGUGGGAGCCCCUUUCUAGGCUGGCCAAGGCCGGAGCCGGCUCCCUCAGCUUGUGGGGAGGUGUGGAGGGAGAGGCGCUGGUGGGAACCCGGGCUGCGUGCGGCACUUGCGGGCCAGCGCGAGUUCUGGGUGGGCGUGGGCUCAGCGGGCCGGCACUCGGAGCGGCCAGCCAACCCGCCGGCCCUGGGCAGUGAGGGGCUUAGCACCUGGGCCAGCAGCUGCUGUGCUCAAUUUCUCCCCGGGCCUUAGCUGCCUUCCCGCGGGGCAGGGCUGGGGACCUGCAGCCUGCAGUGCCUGAGCCAACCCCCCCCGCCAUGGGCUUCCGUGCGCCCGAGCCUCCCCGACGAGCGCUGCCCCCUGCUUCACGGCCCCCAGUCCCAUCGACCACCCAAGGGCUGAGGAGUGUGGGCGCAUGGCUCGGGACUGGCAGGCGGCUCCACCUGCGGCCCCGGUCGGGAUCCACUGGGUGAAGCCAGCUGGGUUCCUGAGUCUGGUGGGGACUUGGAGAACCUUUAUGUCUAGCCCAGGGAUUAUAAAUACACCAAUCGGCACACUGUAUCUAGCUCAAGGUUUGUAAACACACCAGUCCGCACCCUGUGUCUAGCUCAGGGUUUGUGAAUGCACCAAUCGACACUCUGUAUCUAGCUACUCUGGUGGGGACUUGGAGAACCUUUGUGUCCAAAAUCUGUGUCUAGCUAAUCUCGUGGGGAGGUGGAGAACUUUUGUGUCCAGCUCAGGGAUUGUAAACGCACCAAUCAGCACCCUGUCAAAAUGGACCGAUCAGCUCUCUGUAAAAUGGACCAAUCGGCUCUCUGUAAAAUGGACCAAUCAUCAGCAGGAUGUGGGUGGGGGCCAGAUAAGAGAAUAAACGCAGCCUGCCCGAGCUGGCAGUGGUAGUUUGCUCCGGUUUCUUUCCACACUGUGGAAGUUUUAUUUUUUUGCUCUUUGGGGUAAAUCUGGCUGCUGUUUAUACUUUGGGUCCACACUGCCUCUAUGAGCUGUAACUCUCGCCGCGAAGGUCUCUAGCUUCACUCCUGAACCAGCGAGAUCACGACCCUACCAGAAGGAAGAAACUCCGAACACAUCUGAACAUCAGAAGGAGCAAACUCCAGAUACGCCGCCUUUAGGAACUGUAACACAUACCGCAAGGGUCCGCGGCUUCAUUCUUGAAGUCAGUGAGACCAAGAACUUACCAAUUCCAGACACAGUUUUAGUAUUUGUUAGUAAAAGUACGGCCCCAAUAUUGCACGGGACAUACGUAUACUAAAUUGUUACUAUCUGAAAUUCACAUUUAACUGGAUGUUCUGUAUUUUCAUCUGGCUACUUUGACAACCCCUCUGAGGAGUUGUGUGACAAAGGGAGCAGAGAUGGGCGGUAGUUGCUAGAGAGGCAUGGUAUCAAGGAAAAAGUCUGUUUUAAGAUGGGAGCUAUUAACAAAACAUGUAAAGAGGGAACCGCUGAUGCAGGAGAGAGGGAGCAACUGCAGAGCAAGUCUUUGAGAAAGGUAAGAGAGGGUAGGACCUGUUGCACGAGGGCAGAGGUUGUUCUUAGGAGCCACCAGAGUUGAGCUGUGUAGUAGGAGAGUGAGCGGAAUGUGAAGCUAUAGCUGUGGGUUGGUAGACAUGGUGAGGAGAAAGUGAGAAAAUACUCUUCUGGUUGCUUCUGUGUUAACAAAGGAACCAACAAGAUCAUCUGUGAGCAGGGGGUGGGGACGAGGGAGGACUGAGAAGGGGUGAGAUUGUUAACUUAGACAUUGUAAGGCGAAUUGUUAAGGAUAUGUAGCCAGAUUGCCAGGCAGGGCAGAAUGCCCACUUGGGAUGUGUGGUCUUAAGUCUCAAAUGGAACCAGUCGGCCUGCUUGUGUUGUUUUGGCUGCUCUAGUGCAGGCAGGGAGUUAGAAAAUUAGUUGUAGCUGAGAUUGGAGUUUGACACAGAAGAUGGAGCAGGGAACAGAGGAGUUCGGGUUCUAUGCAGAGAAAUAACAUCAGACAGGAUCAUGGGGUUUAAGCUGGUGUGACAGGAUAUUUAGAUGGGUUUUUCUGGUUAUCCUGGAAUUGGCCACUUGAACUGGCAAAGAAGGCAGAUAACUAAGGUGACCACAUGUUCCACUUUGCGUGGGAUGACUGAUUUGUGUCUGUUAUGAAGGCUUAAUUAUUGAGUGCCCUUUUUACUGUCAAAAGUGUUCCUUUUAGACGCUAUAUGGUCACCCUAAAGUCUCCCCGCACUAUAGAGAAAGCCCCCUGGCCGGGCGCGGUGGCUCAUGCUUGUAAUCCCAGCACUUUGGGAGGCCAAGGCGGGUGGAUCAUGAGGCCAGGAGGUUGAGACCAUCCUGGCUAACAUGGUGAAACGCCGUCUCUACUAAAAAUACAAAAAAUUAGCCGGGCGUGGUUGCACGUGCCUGUAGUCCCAGCUACUUGGGAGGCUGAGACAGGAGAAUCACUUGAACCCUGGAGGCGGAGGUUGCAGUGAGCCGAGAUUGUGCCACUGCACUCCAGCCUAGGCUACGGAGUGAGACGCUGUCAAAAAAAAAGAAAAGGAAGAAAAGAAAGCCCCCAGCAAUUGGGUAAGACACCUCUUGAAGCUUAUGAGGAAUUCACUCAGCUGUUUUAAUCUGGGUUAGACGCCUCUUGGAGCUUAUGAGGAAUUCACUCAGCUGUUUUAAUCUGGGUUAGAUGCCUUUUGGAGCUUAUGAGGAAUUCACUCAGCUGUUUUAAUCUGGGUUAGUACCUGUUGGCUCGAGGCACCCACGAGCCUGUGCUUGCUGCUGUCAGAGUGGAGCUGAGCAUCAGUGUGGAGUUCUUGGCGGAGUUGGGCUGCCCUCAGGACUAUAUGUGACCAAGAGUAUGUGCCUGCUUUUGGUGCAGAAAUUCCCAAAGGUAGGAGACCUGCUGGAGAAACAUAAGAGCUGGAUGGAGAGGAGGGUGGCCAGGAAGCAGCUGCAUAACCAUGCUGUGGAUAUCACAGCCUCUCAGCUCAAGAACUCACACAUGCUCCUCACACAAACAGUAUUUGGCCCAUCUAUGUGUCUUACACAAAUGCCUGCCCGGCAGACAGCAUCCGCAGCAGAGCACAGAGCAAAUGGGAUGAUUCAGCUAGGGCAGGUCAGGCAGUCUCUGCACAAUGGGCCUGUGAAUGGAAUGGCCAUUCACAGGGUUGGAGGCUACAGGGACCCACAGAAAAAGGCAGAUCUAGACAGUGCCUCUGCCCUCUCCAGCCGUAGAGGCCAAUGGGCAGCCCAUGGUAUGGUGGCUGCCGUCUCUCGGUGGCAAGUUGAUUUCCAUAGGCCCAGAUGCAUAUUCUGGGUUUGGGUUUGGGUUUGUCUUCCUUGCUUGUAGAGCCUUCCAGGCAUGACUACCCAAUUGCUUACAGAAUGUCUUGCCUUAUCACAGGAUUUCCCAUAAUACCACCUUGGACCAAGCACCCUUGUAAGAGCGAAAGAGGCAGACAGAGGGGACGUGACCGCAAGCUCCACUGGUUCCACCAUAGAUCGCACACCCCAGACUGCCACCCUGAUAGGACAUCAGCAUGGCCCCACAAAGGCACAGCGAACGCUCCAGCAGAGUUGGAAGCUGUGCUGUGGGAUGCAGUAUAUAUUCAGAGCCUAAUAUCAGUGUAUGGUGCAGCAUCCCCAGUAGCCAGGGUCCUGGCCCCUGGGAUGUGCCGAAGAUGCUCUCCUGGGUGACACAGGGUUCACUAAAUCUAAAAGCCUCUCCUUACUUGGGAUCCUCAUGGAUCCCAGGCAACAAAAUUUGGUCCUGGUUAUGAGUAGGAAACGGGAGGGAGGAUUAUUUCUGGAAUGCAGGGGACUCACUGGGCAUCUUUUCCUUGGCUGGUGAUACCAGUAAACUGGCAAUGCAGCAACCCUGGCCUGACAAGGAAUGAUAACCAAGGGCUCAGACCUCACAGGGAAGAAGGUCUGGGUCACCUCGUUGAGGAAGCAGCCUGGGCCACAGAAGUGCUAGCUGCAGGUGAAGAGAACGGAGCCGGGUGAUUAAGGAAGAAGAUGAUGAAAAUCACUGUAGCCUUAGAACUAACUGCAGCAGUGGGCAUUAUAGCCCAACCUAUUGACCCUCCUGAGGUGGGUUUUUUCCCCCAGUAAAGUAUGACUGGACACCAUCAUGAGGAAUCAGGGCCAGGACAGAGAUCUGUAGCCGUGGAUCCGCCAUACCAGGCAGGAUGGUAACAGAGGCCAUCAGUGCCCAUCCAGAUUCCCCCAACUGAAGGCUGCUUUCUGGGAACACCUGCAUCUCUCUUUGUGCUUGAGGGAUUUCUUUUUGGAGCAGAGCAAGCUGGAAGCCCUAGAGAGUUAAUUCAGAAGAAGGCCUCGGCCAAUGGCAGGCAAAGAGUUGGUGUGUAAAUGCCCUGGCGGGGGUAGCUUGGCUGGUUGCACGUGCCCCAUUGCAUGGCAGAGUCCCAGGGAGCUGCUCCAGUCUCCCUCGGGGAAGUGCCCCAUAGCACACCUUUACUGGCCUCCCCACUCCCCUCCUGCUCUUUCCUGCUGUCACCUCCCAAGUGAAAUGCUAGCCCUGGAUCAGCUUCUGGGGGAAUCCAGUCAAGGUUGUUAUUAUCACAGACUAAAACAACCUAUACUUAUUACAAUUCAAAGAUAUAUAUAUUUGUUAUUAGAGACAGGGUCUCACUCUGUCACCCAGGCUGGGUUGCAAUUGUGAGAUCCUAGCUCACUGUAGCCUUGAACUACUGGGCUUAAGGGAUGCUCCUCCUCAGCCUCCAGAGUAACUAGGACUACAGAUGCGUGCCACCAUGCCUGCGUAAUUUUUGUUGCUGUUUUUUGUAGAAAUGGGAUCUCGCUGUGCUGCCCAGGCUAGUCCCGAACUCCUGUGCUCCAGCAGUCCUCCCAUGGCAUGAGCCACCACACCCAGCCUCAAAUAUCUAUGUGCUGAAUUGCACACUUUUUAGGGAAGUACAUCCUGGAACAAAAAAGUGAUGUGGAAUCUAGCAUGACUUCAUUUUCCUCUCCUUUUUAUCAGAGGAUGUGUUGAAGUGCAGCCAGUAUGCAAUCACUUGACUGUCCCCAGCGUCAUCAAUUAUAAAGAGCAAGGGGGAAGCUAGGAAAUGUGAAUCUGAGGCUUGGCAGCAGCAUUUGAAAAAAAUAAAGUGAGAAAUCCCUGGCAGCGGCACGCCCCCUUCACAGUGAAACCAAACCCUCUGGGUCUCGGUGACUUGCCGUUUCCCAGGUUAGGUGAUCCUGCCAUUAAGCCAGGAUGUAUGGGCCUUGAGAACACACAGAUUAAAAAAAUAAAUAACACUGUAUUCCUGAAACAAAAACACUCAGAAUAGGAAAGAGACUCUUUUGUUAACAUAAAGAGUACUGGUGGUGUUUUCUUUCUUUUUUCUUACAUUUCUGGUCCUAAUUCCAAAGCCAGCUAGCAAACAUUAGUGCAGUAUAUGCAGAAGUUGGCAGCAAAUAAAAUCAUUAAACCUAAAAUUGCAGUGGUAGCUGUUAGAGCGAUUGAAUAUCGUUGCAUAGCUUUGUGUUUUCAAUUCUGUCUCAGGUUUUGUUUGACCUGGAGAGAAAGAAUAACUCUGAAGCAUGAAAUCCCUUUGCAAACAGUCUUUAGAAGUACUAGGAGAGACACAAUUCCCUGUUCUUAGAUUUUUUUAAUGUUAAAUCAACACCUUUUGUGUUCUGUAGUGUGUGGCACAUCAGUGUGUGGUAAGCCAUAAUUAGUACAGAACCUAACCCUCAAAACUACUGUAAUUUGCUGUAUCUUAGACAUCCUUUUUACUGAAGACUAAUGAUUAUUUGGUCUUCUGUUAUUCACAGGCUCUCAACUCCAUGCUUGCAGAUUCCUGCCUUAUUCACUGUUGUAGAUACCACAGAGCUUCCUAGCACAGUUAUUCAAUACAUCAGGCUGCCCAUUCAGUAACAGCACUCACCACAACCUGUAAAUACAGUAUUAUCUAUUUGUUUUCUAAAAAUGUUUCUCUCCCCUCACUAGAAUGUAAACUUAAGAGGAGGGAUGCUGUAAUGCUCAUCCAUGCCUCACACAUAAUAGAUGCUCAACAAAUACGCGUUGCCUCAAAAACAAAAAUAAGAAUACAGUACAUUGUGAUAGUAACAGAGUUGGAGGAGAUGCCUGUGUCCAGUUGUCUAGUUCAAAAUAUGCUGAGUGGCCACUUAAAGACACAAAAUUAUCAGCAAAAUUUGAUAUGUACACAUCUUGACAAUAAAUGGACGAUUGAGAUGUUUCACCAAAUACCACCCAGCAUUGCCAUGCUUUGCUGGAGCCUUCUGUGUUUUAGGAUUACAGGACAAUUUGAAAUUCUGCAGGACUGCAAGUUUCAACUCUGUUUUAGCAAUUCCUGGAUUGGACCUAUUAGUUAAGGAAGCCCCUUACAUCCUUUUGUUUUAACCUUAAUCGUACUAUGGUGUGCUCCUAGCAAAUGCCUUUAAGUGGACUUAACCAUCUUCUUUUAUGUUGGCUUCAGAGCUUUUUAUAUUCAGAGCUCUGUAUAUCAAAAGUCCUUAAAAUAGUCAAACGUCUCCAAUCAAUUUUACAGCAAAACAGAGCUCUGUGGUUUUCUAUUUACUUGCUAUUUGCAUAUUUUAAUAAGAAAAUUGUAAAUAAAGCUGGUUCUACAGCAGGGAUAUGGUAUUACAAUAGUGUUACUCCAACCAUAUGGCCGUGCUGCCAUCCAGCACAAUAAUGCAGAUGUGUUUUGCACCUGUGUUUAUAUCUGGGCGUCUCUGGCAGUGGGCUGUGUCUGUAGGUGGUCCAGAAGGAAAGGAGAAAUUGAGGAGAGGCACACACUGCCAGAGAUAUGAGAGCCCAGUACCUGGAGAGAGGGAACAACUCAGUCAGAAUGUGAAAAUGUCUGUGCUUAGUGAGGACCUGGGUUCUCUCCCGGCCCUGCCAGCCCUGCCCUGUGCUGCAGAGGGCAGGAAUAACCUAAUUAUGUGAUUUUCUGUGAAAAAGGAUUUAGAUCUCUUUAUGUUCUAAAAGAAGGAUUUCUAACGGACCGCAUGAUAGCAUUUUAACUUAAAUUGCUAGCUGGGAGUGGGUGGUUGAUUUUUUGUUUUGGGGUGGUUUGUUUGUUUUGUCUUGUCUUUUGGAAUUCUCCAUUUGAAGGUCCUCUUUAUUCAGUGGGAACAAGGCCAAUUUGCAUUUUGUCAGUGAUGUCAGCAGUAAUAGGAAAGACAUGGGAAAUGGCACCAUCUUCCCAGUUUUACCCACUGAUGUGAUGGUGUGCAGUGUGGACUGAGUCUUAGGGCAGCAGCCGCUGGCUUGCCACUCUGCACCUCCACUGUCCAGGCAUAUCACCCCACCCGGAGCAGAAGCACUAGCUGCAGCUGCACGUCGGAGGGAGACACGGUGCUGGCCUCUGGCCUUUGCUGCAGGAUCUGAGCCUUGCUGACACUCAUUUAUGAAGGCUUCCCACUGCCCAGGAGCAUCAGGAUCGCCUUGCAUAUGAAACGCGGUAUAAAGCCUGUCUUUAUACCUCAUUUCUUUUGAUCUAACAUGACAUGAAUUUUAUCUGAGUUUUUCAUUGCUCCCUUGGUUUUGCACAAACCCAGUAAAAUAUUUUUCACUCCUUAACAGCAGAUUUCUCACCCUUUGUGUUUGGUAGGUUUCCCCUAAGAUGCCAACUGAGCUGCGUUCCCCUCUCAGGCACACACUAUAAUUUCUGAAGGUGAUGGCAUGCACCGGAGUGCCCACCAGUUGUGUCCUGGCCACACUCCAGUGGAGGUCCCUGGAUGUCCUGCCCCCUGCAGGUAGUUGCCUCCUGUGAGCUCAUCUUUGAACUCUCUGUGGUACUAAAGGACGAGGAGUACAUGCAGGAUUGAAGAUAAUUUUCAGGACACACUUUAGCCAACAGUCUGAACCUUUGUUCUUCCUGACUGAGCCCUUGUAACAAAGAUGAGAACAUAGAACAUAGCCAGUUAAUUUGAGUUUGAAUUUAUUUUUUCACACCUGGUGAAGAAAAUAAUAAAAAUGUUUAGCAGUGAGAAACUAAAAAUGAAGAAAUGAAAAUAUCCACAGCCCCUGAAAAAUCAAGAGUUGACUAUAGGACUGUUGGUUUGAAAAAAAAAUUACAUUGAAAAUUCCAAACCUUACAUUCUGGAUCCUGCCUGAUACUGACCCUGAUUGUUUGACCUCUUGAGAGUUCCAGUUGUCUCAUUUGAAAAGUAAGAUAGUUGGAUAGGAGAAUCUCAAAAAUCCCUUUAAGCUCAAAAAUCCCAUGACUGCACUUUUCUUUUUCUUUCUUUUUUUUUCUUUUUUUCUUUCUUUUUUUUUUUUUGUGGGAGAGUCUGGCUCUGUCGCCCAGGCCAGAGUGCAGUGGUGCAAUCUCGGCUCACUGCAACCUCUGCCUCCCGGAUUCAAGCUAUUCUCCUGCCUCAGCCUCCCAAGUAGCUGGGACUACAGGUGUCCACCACCAAGCCUGGCUAAUUUUUUGUAUUUUUAGUAGAGAUGGGGUUUCACCAUGUUAGCCAGGAUGGUCUUGAUUUCCUGACCUCGUGAUCUGCCUGCCUCAGCCUCCCAAAGUGCUGGGAUUACAGGCGUGAGCCACCGCGCCCGGCUGCACUUUUUAAUAAACAACGAUUCUGCAGCAAGUCUCGGCUGAACUGUGGGGCCUUCUCUUCUGGCGCCUUUCUCUGGCCAUCUGCGUAGAACAGGACAUAUGGGUGGUGGUAGUGGAGUUUUUCCAAAUAACUGUAUACCAGCAGCGGUCGUAGAUCACACUGAUUGUUCUGCUAUUCAGUUAAAGGGUUUUUUUCUUCCAGGUGCUUCAUUCUUUAAAUGUGUUAGCUAUAGCGCAAUCCAUUUUAAACUGGGAACUUGGUUACUUUCUCUGAUCUUAAAGCAGAUUGCUGGUACUUUUCUGUUUCUAUAACUUUUUGCUCCUCUGUCCUUUCUACUUCUACACCUCCCCAAAAGCCUCUGCUCCGUGAACUAAUGAUGUUGCUUUUUUGUCCCUGGCUAGGUUAUGGACAUAGAAAGCCAAACCACAAUAGGUUAGAUGUGAAGUAUAGUGAUAAAGAGGAAAACAAUAUAAUAUUAAAUAUGUGGGUUGCAUUUUCAAUUUUGCAUUUUUAUUGAAUUCCUGUUUUUCCAUAAAGUAAUUCUCCCUGAGCUCGGCCACAUUUUUUUCUGAGGCCGGAUAUGUGAGUCUGUGUUGAUUUGCAGCAUUGUUGUGGUUUAUAUAUAUGUUUGACAGGAUGCAUAUUCAUUCCACUAACAUUCAUUAGAACUCAAAUGAAUGCACAGACAUGAAUGAUAGAUUUAAGCACACGUAUCUGCUUUCCUUCUGAGAAACAAUAGCUUUUCAGGACUCUGUAGACUAGUGAGGAUUUUCAACAGAGUUUUAUCUGAGAACAAAUGGAGAAUCUCUCUUCAAUUAAAUAAUUAGAAUUAAAUCCUAGAAAGGCCACCUCAGUGGAUGGUAAACCUUUUUGCAGACUUCAUUUUGUGAAAGAAAAUGCUCGUAAUUGCUGCUUGUUCCUGCACAUUGUUUUGUUUUGGAUUUGUUCAAAUAUAAUUGUUUCUGCUGUUAAGUCACCUCCUGUUUGCAAGCAUGUAUUUGUUAAACACAUUGAGAAGGAAGUUUUCAUUUUUUAGGAAAAUCAGUUUUGAACUAGAAUUCAUAGACCAUGCUUUCCUUGGUGACAAUGCUGGAUUGCUUCAAAGCACUGGUCCUCUUGCGCUGCCACGUGGAACGAUGACUAGGCACUGUGUGAUGAGGCACGAUGCUGAUUAGUAUCCAGAAAAAAAGUCCUAAACGCCAUGUAGCUUUCUAAGCUCUUGCUUUACAUAAAUAUGCUGGUAACUACUGACUCUCAGUUUUGGCAGUGAUUUUGCUAGUAAACAUAUUUUCGGGCCAGAAACCCUACAAUGUAAAGUAGGAUAUUGCCCCCAUUCCCCAGCCAAAAAAAAAAAAAAAAGGGAAUGAAAUGCAUGGCUGUAUCAGCCCUUGCCCCUCAAAUGGUUUUUGGCAUGCUUUAAGAGAAAUAAAAUAUAAAUUAAUUCUCAAAGAAUUUAGGAUGCUCUUCCAGAAAGAGACGAGUCAGCUUCCCACAUCAAACAGGGGAGUCUUUCACAUAUUUAGUCCAUCUUCUAUAUUUACAGAAUUUUCACAUUACUUUCUUUUCUUGGUUUACAACAAUUCAAUAAUUCUUUUCUUUAAAGCUGUCUAAGAAAUCUGUGUUUCACAGAUCCUAGAGGCAGUGCAAUUCUCGACAGCACUUACAACAAAGGUUUAUUUUCACACAAAUUGUCUAGCUACUAAUUCAGAGAGGUCUUCUGUGUAUGCACAUUGGAGUAAUUUAAGCUCAACUGUUUUCAAGUCAACAAAUAUUGACAUUUGCCUGUUACACCCCAGGCAAUGUUCCUUUUUCUACACGUUCUUUCUUGCUUUCUAUAAGUUAGGCUAAUCCACUAUUAAAGUACAGACACGAUAAUUCAAAUUAUUAUUGAAAUAUUAAUUUUCCAAAAACAAAACAAGGAAAACAUAUUUUGAAUGGUGGGAGGUGUGGACAAUAAAUGGAAAAUCCAGGUUUGUCUCCUUUUUAUUUUUUGUGCCAGGUCUUCUUUGCUCAGUGUUUACGAUUGGGAUUGAUACAAGUCAGUUACCUAAGAAAUUCUGUUGGAGAAACUAGCCACUAAAACUCUGACGAAUCUGUCUUUCCUGCUUAUUUUUCAAGCACACUCUAACAUAUUUAAAUCAGCAAAUUUCUAGCAGAACUGAAUAAAGUCUGUCCUAUUGGUCAGGCUUAUGUGUAAACACAGUUAUGUAAGCAGUACUUGAGGGCAGAAAUUGUCCCAGGCACAAGCUAUUGUCGCAACUAAUCUUUUUACAACUCAAGGAUGAAUAAACUCACGACUUUAAAAUGUUGUGCCCCAU